AAUUGGGAAGACUCAAGCCAAUUGUAAUGAUGUCUGUCAAGAGUCAGACGCCAAUUAGCGAACAAAAAUAGAGUUUAUUCAGCAGAUAAGCCAAAAAGUAAUGUUAACACAGAAAAAACCUUGAAACACUUCACUAUCAGUGCUUCAAGAGCAGUUCAAACAAAAAUAUAAUUCAGCAACACAAGCAGGUAAAAACAAAACUAAACAAACUUAGUGCAAACUGCACUUUCUGAGUCCAAGCCCUGCCAGCCGGCUCUGUAGUUUUCAAAGGAACAGUUCCCAAAAGAAAACACCAAAUUGGUCAGGAAACAAACAAACAAACUAAGAAUGCAGUAGACUGCUUCCACAAUGUGGAUAAAGCCGAAGGCUCCAAAAGGAUGGUGAAAAGACGUCGUCCGGGAUUCCAAGGUCAGGUUAGGAGAUAACAGCGGUGUCCAAAGAGCAAGCCAGGAAUCAAAAGCCGAUAGUAGUCAUCAAUCACAGGGCGAAGGCAGUAGCAAGGUCAAAUUCCGAUCCAAGGUCUGAAGAGGGUGCAGUCAUCCAAAACAGGUCCACGAUAAGACACAGCGAGAGCCAAGCUAGGUGAUAACAGCAGAUUCAAAUCAUAGUCCAAGUCCAGUCUUCAUGGAAACACAGAGAUCCCAAUGGCGCCUCAGCAACACCUUGCCACACGCAAAGUGUUGCUGAGGCGCCAUUGGGAUCUCUGUGUUUCUGGACUUGGACUGUGAUUCGGAUCUGCUGAUACCAUCUGGCUUGGCUCUCGCUGUGUCUUAUCGUGGACCUGUUUUGGAUGACUGCACCCUCUUCGGACUUUGGAUUGAAUUUGACCUGGCUUCUGUCUACACCCUCUGACUGACGGCUACUCCCGGCUUCUGACUAUUGGUUUGUCUUUCGGAAUUUCUGCUGCCUCCUGACCUGACCUUGGAUUCUUCUGACGACGGCUAU